rnacentral:misc_RNA from 1 species
UGUUCAGUAAGCUGUUGAGUU